UUGCCUCAGUAACGGCGAGUGAAGCGGCAAGAGCUCAAAUUUGAAAUCGGUACUCAGUAUCGAGUUGUAGUUUGAAGGGAGGACUCUGUGGAGUGGUGAGCAGCGAUGUUCCUUGGAAGAGGACGUGAGACAAGGUGAUAAUCCUGUAGCUGCUGAUCCAUGACACGUAUAGGGUUCCCCCGAAGAGUCGAGUUGUUUGGGAAUGCAGCUCUAAGUGGGUGGUAAACUCCAUCUAAAGCUAAAUACUAGCGAGAGACCGAUAGCGAACAAGUACAGUGAUGGAAAGAUGAAAAGAACUUUGAAAAGAGAGUGAAAGAGUGCGUGAAAUUGUUGAAAGGGAAGGAUAUUAGGUGAGGCGGGGACGUGGGUUCUGUGUAAUCUCUUGUAGAUUGUAUUAUGCCCACGUCCAGGCCGGUGUGGGUGGGGAGCGGGCUAUAAAAGCUUUUCUUUGAACCUAGUUUCAGGAACAGUCAACGGCCCUCCCCCCACCAUGGACAAACGACACCGACACAAUGA
rnacentral:rRNA from 1 species